rnacentral:rRNA from 1 species
AUUGAACGCUGGCGGCAUGCCUUACACAUGCAAGUCGAACGGCAGCGGGGGAGAAGCUUGCUUUCCCUGCCGGCGAGUGGCGAACGGGUGAGUAAUACAUCGGAACGUGCCCUGUAGUGGGGGAUGACUAGUCGAAAGAUUAGCUAAUACCGCAUACGACCUGAGGGUGAAAGUGGGGGACCGCAAGGCCUCAUGCUAUAGGAGCGGCCGAUGUCUGAUUAGCUAGUUGGUGGGGUAAAGGCCUACCAAGGCGACGAUCAGUAGCUAGUCUGAGAGGACGAUCAGCCACACUGGGACUGAGACACGGCCCAGACUCCUACGGGAGGCAGCAGUGGGGAAUUUUGGACAAUGGGCGAAAGCCUGAUCCAGCAAUGCCGCGUGUGUGAAGAAGGCCUUCGGGUUGUAAAGCACUUUUGUCCGGAAAGAAAUGGCUCUGGUUAAUACCUGGGGUCGAUGACGGUACCGGAAGAAUAAGGACCGGCUAACUACGUGCCAGCCGCCGCGGUAA